rnacentral:rRNA from 1 species
UACGGGGGGAGCAAGCGUUGUUCGGAUUUACUGGGCGUAGAGGGCGCGUAGGCGGCCACCGCAAGUCGAUUGUGAAAUCUCCGGGCUUAACUCGGAAAGGUCAACCGAUACUGCGGGGCUAGAGUGCAGAAGGGGCAACUGGAAUUCUCGGUGUAGCGGUGAAAUGCGUAGAUAUCGAGAGGAACACCUGCGGCGAAGGCGGGUUGCUGGGCUGACACUGACGCUGAUGUGCGAAAGCUAGGGGAGCGAACGGG